AGAAUCAACGCUGGCGGCGUGCCUAACACAUGCAAGUCGCACGAGAAAGGGGAGCAAUCCCUGAGUACAGUGGCGCACGGGUGAGUAACACGUGAAUAAUCUACCUCCGAGUGGGGAAUAACUGAGAGAAAUCUUAGCUAAUACCGCAUAACACUUACGAGUCAAAGCAGCAAUGCGCUUGGAGAGGAGUUCGCGGCCGAUUAGUUAGUUGGCGGGGUAAUGGCCCACCAAGACGAUGAUCGGUAUCCGGCCUGAGAGGGCGCACGGACACACUGGAACUGAAACACGGUCCAGACUCCUACGGGAGGCAGCAGUGGGGAAUUUUGCGCAAUGGGGGAAACCCUGACGCAGCAACGCCGCGUGGAGGAUGAAACCCCUUGGGGUGUAAACUCCUUUCGAUCGGGAAGAUAAUGACGGUACCGAUAUAAGAAGCCCGGCUAACUUCGUGCCAGCAGCCGC
rnacentral:rRNA from 1 species